rnacentral:lncRNA from 1 species
CCUUUGUCGGAGUCAGCGGAGGGCGCAUAGCCUCCGCAGCUUCGGGGGCGAUCCCGACGGUCGCCAACGCGUCCGACUUGAUCUCCCACCGCCUGCCCUUGUAUUCGGCGACGUCGGCGAUCUUCCGCUGCACCGCAGCCUUGGUCAAGUCCGGACGCGAACCGUUCGCCGUGGACGUCUCCAGGAAACCCUCCCUCGCGCCCUUGCUCUGAAGCUUUGGGUUGAGGAGCAAAAACUCCACCAGGGGUUUGACGAGAUCGUCGGGGAACUCGCUCUCGUCCUUGGGCCUGAUCGCGUCGGCCUCCUCGGCGGUUAUGCCCACCGAGGCGAGCACCUCGACUUUGACCUCCCACCGCUGCGGCGCCUUCAGCCGGUACUCGGCGACGUCGGCGAUCUUCCGCUGCACCGCAGCCUUGGUCAGGUCCGGACGCGAACCGUUCGCCGUGGACGUCUCCAGGAAACCCUCCCUCGCGCCCUUGCUCUGAAGCUUGGGGUUGGCGAGCAAAAACUCCACCAGGGGUUUGACGAGAUCGUCGGGGAACUCGC